rnacentral:rRNA from 1 species
GACGAACGCUGGCGGCGUGCUUAACACAUGCAAGUCGAACGGAAAGGCCCUGCUUUUGUGGGGUGCUCGAGUGGCGAACGGGUGAGUAACACGUGAGUAACCUGCCCUUGACUUUGGGAUAACUUCAGGAAACUGGGGCUAAUACCGGAUAGGAGCUCCUGCUGCAUGGUGGGGGUUGGAAAGUUUCGGCGGUUGGGGAUGGACUCGCGGCUUAUCAGCUUGUUGGUGGGGUAGUGGCUUACCAAGGCUUUGACGGGUAGCCGGCCUGAGAGGGUGACCGGCCACAUUGGGACUGAGGUACGGCGCAGACUCCUACGGGAGGCAGCAGUGGGGAAUAUUGCACAAUGGGCGGGAGCCUGAUGCGGCAACGCCGCGUGCGUGAUGACGGCCUUCUGGUUGUAAACCGCUUUCUCCUGUGACGAAGCGUGAGUGACGGUAAUGGGUAAAGAAGCACCGGCUAACUACGUG